ensembl:lncRNA
CCGCUCGGCAGCAAAGGCAGCUCCUGGGGUCCCUUCAGUCCCCCCAGGACAGGAAGCAGGAGGGAGAAUGGCCGGAGGGACCCCGCCAAGAAGGGGCCUAAAUUCAGGGCACGCGCGGGGGCCUCUGCAGGCAGCGCUCACUCCGCGGGUUCGAGAGGGGCAGGGUUCUCUGCACCCGGGGAGGCCCCUGAAGGUGCAGAAACAGGAGGGCAGGCCUCCUGGCCGUGGAUGUGCCGUCCCUGGGGCAGGAGGGCAGGUGAGAAGGGACCCGGCCGGGUUGAGCCCACGGAGGGAUCAGACAUCGACCCACUGCAGCUCGCACGGGAGACAUGCUCCAUGCACUUUGUUGAACAGGAGUUCACUUCCGGGUCAAGGGAGGAGUUCACUUCCGGGUCAAGGGGAGGCACUGACGCCGUUUCCACAAGGGAGGCCCUUGCUCUUUACCCAUCCGGCACCUAACAGUCUGCAUCGCCGAACGCUGACCUCCCCCUCCAUCCGUCUCCUGGCCCUCCCCCUUGGAGGUGAUGUUCUUAAAUGCCUUCCUGAACUAAUUUUGCUGCCUGUCACCCCUGCGGAUGAAUCCACCUGGGCAAGUCAGAUUUGCAAGGGAGCCCUCUCCCGAGACAGGUCCUGAGAGGGCCCCUCACAGAACCAGUUUCAGGCGGAGACCUCCUCGAAUUCCUCUUUUUCACACUCUUAAGAGCCAGAAUGAGAUGGGGCAACCUGGGACCCCAUUUUUUUCUAUAUCAAUGUUCCUGAAGGAAUAAUGCUUGAAAAACGAAUGUUAAACCCUUCACCCAUGGAGGAAAGUUCAGUAUCUGCCUGAACACAAUGCUAACUUGGAAAAAAAUACCUAUUCUGUGCUUUUCUGUAGUAAAAUCAGAGGAGAGCUGAGCUCUGUUGGUUGUCGGUCAUGGACAUGACCCGGGUUUACACUGUGAGCUUGGCGGGCCACAGGGGCUGGGGCGCAUGUCCUAUUAGCAUCAUUUCCUCUAAAGUCUCUUCACUUGAGCCCCUGUCUAGGCAGAGCCUCUAAUUGUUACCCAGAGACUCUCUUCAAAGACCUGGAACAACGGUAAACAUGUAUGAGACUCUGCUCCCCCACCAUAUGGAGAGGAAAAUAUAGGCCUCUUUUUCCUAAAAUAAUUGAGAACAAGUAGAUAUUGUUUCCUUGGGUCUGUAGUUCAGCCUUGGCACUGACCCUGUGUUACAGAGUUCUACUGGAUUCCGAAAAUCAACAGAUUGGUUUCAUACAAUUUUACUUGUCAAUCUACCUCAAUAAAGCUGGAGGAUCACUUGUUUUCAUGAAUAAAUGUUAAAAUACAAAAGAAAACGAUUCUUGGACUCUGCCUAGGGAUCCCAUUCUUAGAAGGGUGACCGUGGCCAACGACACUCUCCCUUCCCCACCUCCUCCCUCCCCCCAGUAUCCACAAUGGGGACGUGAACCCACUAUCACCUUGGGUAACAAAGGUGGGAUUACAGACUGGCAAUUUCACGUGUUGCUUUCUGAUUUCUCUGGGGGGAACCUGUUGAGGUGAAAAACAAAGGAAGCAGAAAGGAGGCCAAGAGGUACAAGGAAGACAAAUUCAAGUGAGUGAAAAGAAUAACUUUAAAAAGAUGAAAUAAAAAAUAAAAAAAGAUAAUUGUAAUAUUACUUUUGGUUGGCCAAAAGGUUUGUUUGGGUUCUUCCAAUACAUCUUGCAAAAAACCCAAAUGGUUUGGCUGACCUAAUAGCUCCCCUCAGUUUCUACCUCUGGCCCCGGGGCCGUUUCUGCUUUGAUGGUGUACAAACAAACUUGCCGUACAGGUGUCUGCGGUGAGGCGCCCAGUGCCCAGAAAGGCAAGGCAUCUGCCUAAAGUCACACAGCAGAGAAGCCUGGGGGUUUGAAUCCAUGUUCUUCUUAAAACUUCAAAGCCCAUGUUCUUGUUGAUCAAUGGCAGAAGCACCCUGUCCUCAGCCCUUAAAACAGAGGAAAGAAAUAGCAGUGGAGUCCCCAGGAAAUCAUUCAGAGUCGAAACUUGGGUGGAAAGCAUUUAGUGUGCCUGUCCUGUGCUGGCCUCGGCCGUGUGCACCUCUUGUGUCAUUGAACAGAGAGACCAUUAAAGAAACAACACGCACAGAGCCUGGUGGGGAAAAGUGCAGCCCCCUGGGGGACACAGGGUAACCACGUGAGGACCAGACCGGGGCUGAAAGCGUCUUGAUGUUAGGGGGCCGGCGAAACUCCACCCCAAACGCCUCCGGCUCGGCUCUGAGGUGGUUUUUACACUUACUACCCGCACAAGACUAUGAUCUCUUUCUUUUUUGCUAACUUCUUCUAUGAACAAUUUCCAAACGAUCACAGCAUUUAAAAGAAUAGCACAACGAGGGGCUUUCU